AUGUUAACAAGAAAUUUCUCUGUCAUGCCUUUUUCAGAAUCUCAACCCAAAGUAGACCACGUGGACGACAACUUUGCAACUUGCCUUCUCAAGCUCUUAGUGAUGGUUCUUAUUUUUUAUGUAUUCCGGGAGGAAUGUUUUGGAAAUAAGAAAAGAAAAGGAAAUGUCUCUAGCAUCUGCUGGCCUGCUUUCUGUCUCUGUGAAUUUACCUAUCCAGAUCAACUUAAGGAAAAUGAUCAACUUAGGAAGGAAAAUGAUCAACUUGGGGAGGAAAAUGAUCAACUUAGGAAGGAAAAUGAUCAACUUGGGGAGGAAAAUGGAAAAUUGCAAAAGGAAAUUGGUAAUGGUAUUCUAAUAGUUAAAAUAUUCUCAAGAGGAUGUCCUCCUCUGAUGAUCCCCUGCUUCCUUUCAUUCUUUCCCCUUAGCUCUUCAUUUUAGGUAUCUUUUGCAUUUCCCCGUUGCCUCUGUAUAUUGCAGCUAUCAUGUUAGGAAUAAUUUUCUGCUUACCUUGAUUAAGUCCUGAAAAUCAUGUGACUCAACUUUAUUUUAUGCAUGAAAAGCAAUUUCCAAAGGGAGCAAUGGCUUGACUAAUGAUAGUAAUGACUACGGUAAAUCCCUCAGAAGAAUGCCUGUCUUUUUUCUGCAUCGUCCUCUCAUUGAGAGUCCAUGUCUUAUGUGUGUAUCUCCUUUCAGAUGAGAGGAAAACUCAAUUUAGGAAUGGUAAGUAAUUUGGAAGUUCUUUCGUGGGAUCAGAUUCCACAAAUAAUAAGCCAUCUAGCCCUUCUCUAAACCUCCUUCCCAGAAAGAGUCAGGCAUGGUAUACCAUGGCAUGUGCUCACUGUGUAGAAGCAUAAAUGGAAGAGAAUCUGUGAAAGUGAGUUAACUCAUUUUCUUUCCUAACUUAGAAUAUCCUUUUAUUGAGACGGGGAAAAAUUUAAUUGUUUAAUGGAUAUUUCCCAAGCGCUCCUUCCUUUGUCUUCACUUCCCUAACCACCCUUUUCUUUCCCUUUUCACUCUUUGUCUCACUCUUGUCAAUUCUUUCUUCCUUCACCUCUGUUCUUUCCAAAUCCUUACCUUUCUCCUUGCUCCUUUCCUCCUUCCCCCCUCACUCCUUCCAUUUUAUCCGUUAUGCUUUCUUUCCAUCUUCAUUUCUCAAACUAUCCACUUUUAUUUCCAUCAUUUCUUUAUUUUCUUUGUUCUUAUUUUUCUUUUUAUUAUUACUUCUCUUGCUUAUAGCUUGAUUUUUCUUUUGACUUUAUACUUUUUCACAUAUAUAUACAAACCCAACAAUUUUAAAGUUAAAGGAAUGGUCACAGUAUUGUGAGGAAGGAAAGGGAUGGAGAGAGAAAUAACUGAAUACUUAGAGAAUACUGGUGAUGAGGAGAGAGGAAAAGAUACACGAAGGACCAGGAAAGGGUAAUCACAUGUUCUCAUGUUG
ensembl:lncRNA